UAAAGAAUUAUGAUUCGUCAUCACGCUCGUGACCCCAAGGCGAGCUGGGGGCGAGCCAGCUCGCCGCCCGCCGAUUUUGCGGCAGCUCUUUCCCUCAGAACGAAAAAGCUCUAUAAUGGCAGGCAAACAUUUUUUACUUGACUUAUUUUCUAACAAGAAUAUAAUUACAGCACCGAAGCAACAAGUGAAGCUGCUACUAGUAGCCUACUACAUCAUCAGAAGAGCCGCCGCGCCUAAAGACGUGGAUAAUGCUAGCACUAACGUUAACGUUAGCUGCGCUAGCAACGUUCCCCUGGCUAGCUCAAGCUCACAUUUCCCAGAGGUAUGGACGGAGGAGAUGUGGCGUUUGAAGUUUAUUCAUCCACUUCGGAUGUAUCAGUCUUCAAAACACAAGGGGGAACACUAAUCCAUAAUUUAUUUGCACUUCCAGCUGAGUACCUGGAAAAAAGAAUCCAAAAGUGACACCUUUCCGAAUAUCCGCUGGCACCAGACAGCAGAUACAGGAUCCAUCCCCAAGACAAGCAGGAUGUAGCCUUCAGAAUGUCAUUGGGAGCAAGGGCAGUGGCGUAUGGUGAGCAGGACGUGGCCUUUCGUGGACCUUUCCCCAGCCAAAUCCUGUCCACUCCAAAUUAUCUCGAGGUAGCCUACGACCAAGAAGUCUCUGUCACUCCGUUUGAAAACAUCUUUGAGAUCUGUGCUCAGAGAAUGAAUCUCCAUCAUGCAGUGGGGUCUGACCACUGUCCAGAUAUCUACCAGCUUGUGUUCUCCCACUGAACAAGUAGCUGCUCUGCGGUAUGCAUGGAGAGACUGGCCCUGUGACUUUAAAGCCUGUCCAAUCUACAGCGCCAGUAAGAUUUUACCUGCUCCUCCUUUUAUUUCCACCAACCUCCAGCCAAAGGAUGAUGGAAAGUAAUGAGGAGCUGUCAACAAAAUGAACCAGACAGGUGAUUGUAACUAAGUCAAACUCAGAUAAUGUUGUUUUCGCAUAUUUAAAGGGAAUGAAAGAAAGAUGUUUUGAUUUGUACUUAAAGGUGGGGUAGAUCAUUUUGGAGAAACCAGCUCGAGUGCGCUAGAAUUUGAAAAUACACAGCCGGAACAAAUCUGCCACUUCCUUAGAGCCCCUCCUCCAACACACACGAACGCGCACAAUCAAGACUGGAUUAUUGUAACUCCUUAUUAUCAGGGUGUACCAAGAAGUCAGUCAAGUCGCUUCAGCUGAUUCAAAAUGCUGCAGCUCGUGUACUAACCAGAGU